rnacentral:rRNA from 1 species
GAUGAACGCUAGCUACAGGCUUAACACAUGCAAGUCGAGGGACCGGCGCACGGGUGAGUAACACGUAUCCAACCUGCCCUUUACUCGGGGAUAGCCUUUCGAAAGAAAGAUUAAUACACGAAAUAAAGGAUGGGGAGGCGUUCAAUUAGGUUGUUGGUGAGGUAACGGCUCACCAAGCCUUCGAUGGAUAGGGGUUCUGAGAGGAAGGUCCCCCAGAUUGGAACUGGGACACGAUCCAAACUCCUACGUGAUGCAGCAGUGAGGAAGAUUGGUCAAUGGGCGCUAGCCUGAACCCGCCAAGUAGCGUGAAGGAUGAAGGCUUAUGGGGCGUAAACUUCUGUUAUAUAAGAAUAUGUAUUAUAUGAAUAAGGAUCGGCUAACUCCGUGCCAGCAGCCGCGGUAAUUC